CCAUCGGGAAUAUCGUGUCGCUCC
rnacentral:miRNA from 1 species